AGCUUAUGUAUUAUUUCUAUUUCCUAUUAGAAAUUAUAAAUAAUAAAAAAAAAUUCUAUCCUAAUAUAUAAUAUAUGUUCUAUCAUUUGAGAUAUUAUGUCACUUGAUUUUAUCCUAGAUUUCUAUGAUGUAGGACAAAGAUUCCUUAUGUUAAUCAUACUUAUGUCAAGUAAUAUUAAUUUAAACAUCUAAUUUCUUAAAAAAAAUUAUUUUUUCUAAAACUAGAUCUUAAAUAACUUCAUAAUAUUAUUGCGAAUACUGAAUAAAAAUUGAGAAAACAAAAUGUUGCACAGUAGAUAAGAUUUAAAAUUGCAAUACGAGGAAUAGAUAAUAUAUAAUAUAAUAAUAAUAUAUUAUUUAUUAUAUUUAUUAUUAAAUUUAUUAUAUUUAUCAUUAAUUAUUUUCUCCAACGAUUUGAAAAAGCUAAAAAUUCUAACAAUAUCAUAAUAUCUACCCCUUUUUCGCUAAAUCCCUUAAUUUCAACAUUGAAUCAGGACAAAAGUUCGUUCUUCUCCAGUUUGUCCUCCACACCAUUCCAUUCGCCGGUGCUUCUCGAAUGGUUUAUUCGAAACUCUGGGUCGGCCAGAUGAAUCUGACAUCCUCUAAAGCCGGGCAUAAAAAUGCUGCUCGACUCGUAAAUUAUAUUUAAUAGCGGUUGCUUCGCAUACACGCGUUCGUUAGUUGAUUCUGGUCUGGCGUCGCGACUGUUGCACUCUUAUCGUUCAUUUAAAUUAUUUAUUGGGCGAACGAUAAUUCAUAAUUAAGUCCUCGAUGAAAAAUAAUCGGCCGUCCGUCCAUCGAUCGUGAUUCAGUGCUACCAGAAUGAAUCGUAAUUCUAGAGUGCGCCUUCUAAUUAUACGUUAAAAUACAUCUCCUUACUUAUCAACUUACUGACUCCUCUGCCUCGAAGACAUUGUUGGACAAUGAGCGAGAGAUAUAUAUUUGAGUUAUUAUCAUUAAGACGAAUUGUAUCAUGUGAUAUUGACCUUAAUUUUGGACAGAGGAAGAAAUCUACUAAUUUCAUGAUAUGGGCAAUAUUGCAAUAAUCUAAAUGAAAUAAUACCAUGUUUUUGUACAGUAUAAUUUAUGACAAUUUUAUAUCCCGAAUAAAAUAUACGCGUAAAGAAAUUGGUCUAAUAAAUUACAAAAUAUAUUAUUAACUUUUAUAUCAUUUAAAUAUUAUUAUUAUUGAUACAUAUAUAGCAAUCACAUAAAAUAUUCGAAUAUUAUCUUAGAAGGAAAUUCUACCUAAUUUAAUAAAGAUAAUCUUGAUGAAAAUUUUUAUACAUAUGGAGCAUAAUGGAUUAUGGCUACACGAAGCAAUUUUUUUAUUUUUUCAGCGAAAAAUCUUAUUGAAAGGAUAAAAUUUUACGUUUCGAAAAUAUUUUUUACAAUAAAAUGAUAGAGUAUUUAUACAUAAUGUUAAAUAUAUUCGAAAUAUCGAAAAAGCCCAAAAUAUACACAAAAAUUGUUGUACAAAAAUGUCGAUUAUUGAAAUUUAUUCAAGUUACAAGCAAUUGAAGUUCGUAUUAGUCGAAAUGAUGAUAAUGAAAUGAUGUAGAGUUUUGAGAAGAUCAAAUUUUUGAAUAGAAUCCUAUGUUCUUGUAAUUAAUAUUGAAUUAUAUUCAAAACAUUGUUUAUUAUAUUUUUCAUAUAAUAUAUAAUUGUUGAAUUAUUAAUUUUCAAAGUUCAUUUUAUUAAGCAUUAUUUAAUAUACAUUAUGUGAAAAUUACUCAGUCGGAUUUUAAACCAUAAACCAUGAUGGAUUUAUAUGACAAACAUGCAAUUAUCUAAUAAAAUAUUUACUUGUAACUUGUCAGUAUAUAAUAUCAUCUCCACCGUACAAUUAAGUUAAUGUCUAUUAAUUUUGAAAUUUCGUAAAUUAUAAAAUUGAAUAAUGUCAAAAAUCUUGUGUAUUGAAAUUCGCACUGAUUAUUUGUAUAUUUAAUCAUAUGUAUCUACAGGAAGUCGAACAAUGGAUAUAAAAUUACUUUUACCGAAUUAAUCUGGCUCUCUCUCCCUUUUCACUGUUGCCCCACUGUAAGCUAAACAUAUUGUUUCACGGUCGCAAAAAGGGAGCAGAAAUAUUGCUGAGCGCCUUCGAAAAUAGGAUUCGCAGCUGCACCCUCGUUUGCCAUGGCUUGCAGUAAUUGCCAUAACUUCCGGUACCACUAACAAUCGCGUGACGUUACUAGUGCGAUUCGUUGCAAAUGGCAGCGUCAUUCUAAAUAUAAUGUAUCGAUAAACGAUGGUUUUUCCUUUCUUUUUCUUCGUCCACGGUUACUUUACUGUUUAUCGUGCUUACUGGUUAUCGGCACGUGCGCGACAUUGAAAAGUCACAGUGAUCACGCACUGUUAUUUUAUAAUUGAAAAAUACUUAUAUCGAUACCAAAACAAGUUUUAAACAAUUUCUGCAUAUUUAAUGCAGAGUUAAAAAAAAAAGGAUUAGACUCUAGAAAUUUUUUUUUGUUCGUAUUUUUUAAAAAAUAUUAAUUGUAAUCCUUUUAAUCUUUUAUCUUUAUUUAAUAAAUUAAUUUAAUAGAGAAAAUAAAACAUAGAAAAAUGUCUCUGUUAAUUAUAUUAAAUAGCGAAUGCAAUUAGAGAAGAAUAAAGUAUUAGAAAAUAAAUUUAAAUAAAACAUGAAAUUAUUUGGAAAUUUACUUGAAACAAAUAAAUUUAAGAAGUAAAUGUAACUUAAAUAUCAUUUUAGAAUAUUCAUUCAAAUUUAUUGUAUUUAAGAUAAUUAAAUGAUUCUUUAAUUCCAUUUAAUGUAAAAAAAAAAAAAAGA